GUCAUCUUAAAUAGGAGCAUAUUGUAAGAUUUUGAUUGUUUAUAUAUCACCAUUGUCAUGUUAUUUGAGUUUAAAAGAAGUAUCACGAUAGAAAUAGAUGGCUACUAACAUGAACAUUCUCCAUUGUAGCUUUGCAAUUCUAUGCAUUGUUGUAAUCUUGGCAUCAGGAGAAGAACUGAAUUCUCCUUCUAUUAAAUUUGAAGAAAAGUAUUGUAUCUAUAAAGGGCCGAAAAAAUGUAAUAAUGAUGCGUGUUUACUUGUUUGUGUAAUGCAUCGCCUACACGGCGAGUGUAGACAAGACUAUUGUUGCUGCCAUAAAUAGCUUCAUCUUUUAGAAUUGUAUUUUUAGUGUGUUUGUAUAAAUAUAUCUACAAACACCACAAUUUUUAUGAUUUCAACAAUAAAAAUAAGUUGAAAAAUAAAUCGAUAAUUUCAAAUUAAAAUAAUAUUGUCAUGA